GCCUCUGUAGUGUAAUGGAUUUAGCAUAAGUGUCUACGAAAUACUUGGUGUGGGUUCGAUUCCCAUCAGGGGUA